rnacentral:piRNA from 2 species
GUCGGUAGAGCAUCAGACUUUUAAUCUG